AGCAGCCGCGGUAAUUCCAGCUCCAAUAGCGUAUAUUAAAGUUGUUGCAGUUAAAAAGCUCGUAGUUGAAUUUCGGGAUUGGCGUGUCGGUCGUGCCUUAAGGGGUAUGAACUGGCGUCGUCGAUUUCUCACCUUCUGGAGAAUCACGAUGCCCUUAAUUGGGUGUCGUGUGGAACCAGGACCUUUACCUUGAAAAAUUAGAGUGUUUAAAGCAGGCAUUUUUGCUCGAAUACAUUAGCAUGGAAUAAUAAAAUAGGACGGUUUGGUUCUAUUUUGUUGGUUUCUAGGAUCACCGUAAUGAUUAAUAGGGAUAGUUGGGGGCAUUAGUAUUCAAUUGUCAGAGGUGAAAUUCUUGGAUUUAUUGAAGACUAACUACUGCGAAAGCGUUUGCCAAGGAUGUUUUCAUUAAUCAAGAACGAAAGUUAGGGGAUCGAAGACGAUCAGAUACCGUCGUAGUCUUAACCAUAAACUAUGCCGACUAGGAAUCAGACGAUGUAAUUUUUUAAUGACUCGUUUGGCA
rnacentral:rRNA from 1 species